GCACUGAGAUAGCUCAGUUGGUUAGAGCGUGGUGCUGAUAACGCCAAGGUUGCAGGUUCGAUCCCUGUAUGGGACAGCUGCA